rnacentral:rRNA from 1 species
CCUACGGGAGGCAGCAGUGGGGAAUAUUGCACAAUGGGGGAAACCCUGAUGCAGCGACGCCGCGUGAGUGAAGAAGGAUUUCGGAAUGUAAAGCUCUGUUAGCAGGGAAGAAGAAGGACGGUACCUGCAGAGGAGGCCACGGCUAACUAGGUGCCGGCAGCAGCGGUAAUACGUAGGGGGCAAGCGUUGUCCGGAAUAACUGGGGGUAAAGGAUGCGUGUGGGGGUAAACAAGUUAGAUGUGAAAUAUAUAGGCUUAACCUGUAGAAAGCAUAUAAAACUGUUCAACUAGAGUGCAGGAGAGGUAAGUGGAAUUCCUAGUGUAGCGGUGAAAUGCGUAGAGAUUAGGAAGAACACCAGUGGCGAAGGCGACUUACUGGACUGUAACUGACGCUGAGGCAUGAGAGCAUGGGGAGCAAACAGGAUUAGAUACCCGUGUAGUC